AUUGAACGCUGGCGGCAGGCCUAACACAUGCAAGUCGAACGGUAACAGGAAGCAUCUUGCUGCUUCGCUGACGAGUGGCGGACGGGUGAGUAAUGUCUGGGAAGCUGCCUGAUGGAGGGGGAUAACUACUGGAAACGGUAGCUACUACCGCAUAAUGUCGCAAGACCAAAGAGGGGGACCUUCGGGCCUCUUGCCAUCGGAUGUGCCCAGAUGGGAUUCGCUUGUUGGUGGGGUAACGGCUCACCAAGGCGACGAUCCCUAGCUGGUCUGAGAGGAUGACCGGCCACACUGGAACUGAGACACGGUCCAGACUCCUACGGGAGGCAGCAGUGGGGAAUAUUGCACAAUGGGCGCAAGCCUGAUGCAGCCAUGCCGCGUGUAUGAAGAAGGCCUUCGGGUUGUAAAGUACUUUCAGCGGGGAGGAAGGGAGUAAAGUUAAUACCUUUGCUCAUUGACGUUACCCGCAGAAGAAGCACCGGCUAACUCCGUG
rnacentral:rRNA from 1 species